rnacentral:siRNA from 1 species
ACACAGGUUUAAAAUGGGCUGGGU